rnacentral:rRNA from 1 species
CGUAGGGUGCAAGCGUUAAUCGGAAUUACUGGGCGUAAAGCGUGCGCAGGCGGUUGUGUAAGUCUGUCGUGAAAUCCCCGGGCUCAACCUGGGAAUUGCGAUGGAGACUGCACGGCUAGAGUGUGUCAGAGGGGGGUAGAAUUCCACGUGUAGCAGUGAAAUGCGUAGAUAUGUGGAGGAACACCGAUGGCGAAGGCAGCCCCCUGGGAUAACACUGACGCUCAUGCACGAAAGCGUGGGGAGCAAACAGGAUUAGAUACCCUGGUAGUCCACGCCCUAAACGAUGUCAACUAGUUGUCGGGUCUUAAUUGACUUGGUAACGCAGCUAACGCGUGAAGUUGACCGCCUGGGGAGUACGGUCGCAAGGUUA